AUUGCUUCUCGGCCUUUUGGCUAAGAUCAAGCGUAAUAUCUGUUCCUGUCAGUUUAAUAUAACAUUAGAUAUGAGUAAUAAAGGUAAAUGAGAUAUUGAUUAUCCACUUUUU
rnacentral:snRNA from 1 species